GGGCCCGCACAAGCGGUGGAGCAUGUGGUUUAAUUCGAUGAUACGCGAGGAACCUUACCAGGGCUUAAAUGUAAGUUGCAUUAGUUAGAGAUAGCUUUUUCUUCGGACUACUUACAAGGUGCUGCAUGGUUGUCGUCAGCUCGUGCCGUGAGGUGUCAGGUUAAGUCCUAUAACGAGCGCAACCCCUGUUGUUAGUUGCCAUCGAGUAAUGUCGGGAACUCUAACAAGACUGCCGGUGCAAACCGUGAGGAAGGUGGGGAUGACGUCAAAUCAUCACGGCCCUUAUGUCUUGGCUUCACGCAUGCUACAAUGGCCGGUACAGAGGGCUGCAAUACCGUAAGGUGGAGCUAA
rnacentral:rRNA from 1 species